GAUGAAGAACGUAGCGAAAUGCGAUAAGUAAUGUGAAUUGCAGAAUUCAGUGAAUCAUCGAGUCUUUGAACGCACAUUGCGCCCCCUGGCAUUCCGGGGGGCAUGCCUGUUCGAGCGUCAUUACAACCCUCAAGCUCUGCUUGGUAUUGGGCUCUGCCGGUCCCGGCAGGCCUUAAAAUCAGUGGCGGCGCCACUCGGCUUCAAGCGUAGUAAUUCUUCUCGCUUCGGAGACCCGGGUGCGUGCUAGCCAGCAACCCCCAACUUUCUCAGGUUGACCUCGGAUCAGGUAGGGAUACCCGCUGAACUUAAGCAUAUCAAUAAGCGGAGGA
rnacentral:misc_RNA from 1 species